UAAAGAGAUAGAUUUUCAUUUUAAUUUUUUUUUUUAAUAAUAUUAUUUUAUUCUCAGUAAUUAAUAUUAUUAAUUAAAGAAAUUUAUAAAUAGUAAUUUUUUUUAGUAUUGGUUGAAUUUGUGCCAGCAUCCGCGGUUAUACAAAUAAUGCAAGUAAAUUUUUAUUAGUAGUAAUUAAAUUGUUUAUAUUUGUAUUAUAUUUCAUUAAAUUUAUUAGGUGAAAUUUAUAAAUUUAAUAAUUAUCUAAUUGAAAAUUAAUUGAAGUUAAGAAAUUUUAAAUAAAAACUAGGAUUAGAUACCCUAUUAUUUAAAAUUUAAAUAUAAAAACUUAGGUAGUAAUAGUUAUGAUCUUGAAACUUAAAAAAUUUGGCGGUAUUUUAGACUAUUCAGAGGAACCUGUUUUAUAAUCGAUAAUCCACGUUGGACCUUACUUAAAUUUGUUAAUCAGUUUAUAUACCGUCGUUAUAAGAAUAUUUUAUAAAAAUAAUAAUUUUCUAUAAUUUUAAUAAAAUUUAUAUCAGAUCAAGGUGUAGUUUAUGUUUAAGUAAAAAUGGGUUACAUUUUAGUUAUAAUUGAAUUUAAAUAUGUAAAAUUUAAUAAAAUUGGAUUUGAAUGUAAAAUUAUAAAGAUUAAUAAUUUGAUUUUAGCUCUAAAAUAUGUACAUAUCGCCCGUCGCUCUUAUUAUUAAAAUAAGAUAAGUCGUAACAUAGUAGAUGUACUGGAAAGUGUAUCUAGAAUGA
rnacentral:rRNA from 1 species